rnacentral:misc_RNA from 1 species
AACUUAAAAAGAUCUGUAAGAGAAGCAGCUCUGUCUACCCAAUCCUUGAAUUCGGAAUCAUCGCGAGACAGUCACACCGAUGAAAGUUCUGAACACUUCUUUUUACCUCUAACAGCAACUGGGUUUUCUCGCCUGGGCCUGGAAAACAGAGCAGCUUCAAGGAUGUGUAAAAGAUGGAUUACAUCUCAAAAGGACACUGCCAUGCUUGAGAAUCAUGCUCCUGAUAGUAAAGUUGGGAUACCGGAC